AAAUUUCUGUGGCUCGUAAGCAUGACGAUUGGAUUUUCACACUAUUAUGUGGGAUAUGCCUCCCUCUAAACCUUGUUACAAUGUUGGCACAUCACCUGUCUGAUG